UACGUAGGGGGCUAGCGUUGUCCGGAAUCAUUGGGCGUAAAGCGCGUGUAGGCGGUUCGGUAAGUCUGCUGUGAAAGUCGGGGGCUCAACCCUCGAAUGCCGGUGGAUACUGUCGGACUAGAGUGCGGAAGAGGCGAGUGGAAUUCCAAGUGUAGCGGUGAAAUGCGUAGAGAUUUGGAGGAACACCAGUGGCGAAGGCGACUUUCUGGUCUGUAACUGACGCUGAGGCGCGAAAGCGUGGGGAGCAAACAGG
rnacentral:rRNA from 1 species